rnacentral:lncRNA from 1 species
CCCAUCUGCUGCCCCGUGUGUGACCCGAGCCCAGCUCCCCGGGGCCCUGCCUGUGACUCCAACCCUGACCCAGGCCACACACCCAGGCCUCCUCGGUCUCCCUCUGCGGCUCCUCCCACCAACCCUGAGGUCCAAGAGGGCACCCCCGUGUAGCAGGCUCGCCGAGCACACACAGACACCUAUGUGUGCCACAGAGGGGGCCCCCAGGGGCUGCAUGUCCACGGCCAAAGCCACGCUGGCGGCCCGGAGCCUCCCCCGCAGGAGGCGUCCACGCUGGUGGUCAGUGGGAGCAACAGCAUGCUUGGCACAGCAGCAUGGGGUGCACAUUCGCCCAGCGGGUGGCCGCACCAGGGCCCCCGAAGCUUUCUACAUCUUGUUCGGCCUCAUUUUCCACGGUGCCCUGUGUCCAACUCCAAACCCCAAAGGCUCUGAAGACCAAAGCUGUUUUGCAUUUGUGGUUUUGCACGUGGGGAACUCGUUUGGCAGAGGAAGCAGAGCUGAAGACAAAACCCACUUGGUGCGGAUCGGUGUUUUCUUGUGGGGAGGAGUAGAACUGGGGAGGAAACCCAGGCCUCGCGCGGAGCAGCACCCCACUCCUUUCUGUUUUUCCUUUUCUUUCUGUUCUUUUGAGACAAGAUUCUGCUACAUAGUCCAGGCCGGCCUUGAACUAGUGAGGGUCCUUCUGCCUCAGCCUCCUGAGUACUAGGAUUACAGGCACACAACACGCCCGGCUUAUUUUCUUUUGACAAGGUCUCACUGAAUUCCCCAGACAAGACUCAAACUUGACACCCUCCUGCCUCAGCCUCCCUCAGUGCUGGGUUAAUAAGUGUGCACUACCACACCCAGCUAGAACCUGUGUUUCCUUUAAGAUUUUUCAGGGUGGAUAAAUGGGUCUUUGUGUGGAGGGAAAAAGUGGGGCGACUUUAAUGACUGACUUGUUCUCCUACCUCCUACGGGCUCUCAGUUGGUUUAGUGCAUUCUCCAGCCGACUAGGAGCCUGUGCGCCUCUCACACAAGUGCUCAGGCCCCUCAAGCAGCAGCUCGGCCCUCUCUAUGUCUGCAGCUCUCCACGGCUUAGCUCUGUGGCUCCUGCCCCACCCCACUGGUCUGCGCCCCUGCUGUUCCGUCCUCAGCCUCUCGAUCACUCUAGUGCCCCGUCCCCUCUGCUGCCCACCUGAUCCAUCACAGCGGGACACACUGCCCCGUGACAGCUGUGACGAAGCUGCAGCCUGCCAUGCCCACGUGGGUUCAGUCUCUGGACGCGGAGGCACUGGGAGUGAAGCACGCUUCCCAUGGUAACCUGGUAAACUUCCUCUUCACCUCCUGCUGCAACCCCGCCGAGGUCCGGCCCUUGAGCUCCAGCUCCCCUGUGCUUUCCCGGUUGAGGACCAGCCAGGCUCACCAUGCAGGGCGGGGGCCACAGGUGCCUGGCGUGUCUACUCCUCCACGCGGGGAUGCAGGGCAGGAGUCGCUUUGUCCUGGGUCCUACCACCACUGGGACGUGCGUGGAGAGAAUCUGCCUGCUGACUGUCACUGUCCCCUCCCCCUUCUCCUUCUAGUACUGGGGGUUGAACUCAAGGCCUUCACACUGAGAGGCUCCAGGCCAGGUGGGAAAAACACCGGGCAGAGGAGGAGUGGAGGCCCAUCCUGUUCUCCAUAUGCCAGACCCAGGACCUCCCAGUCUCUGUGGCAGAUGGGGCCGAAGAACCAGGAAGCCCCCAGCAGCCUGCAGCUCUGACACCACCUCCUCCAGGGGCUGCAGCUGCCUGGGGUCUUGGGGCAUGUGUGUGGGCCUGGGCUGAGCUGGAGAGCAUCUGGGUGAUCCCCCUUCCCCAGCCCUCAUGCCCUGGAGCACAACACUUCAGGGCCAUGGCUGCAGGGCCAGUGCUAGGAUGAGACGGGUCACCUGUCACACCUGGUGGGCACACCUGCUGGAGAGUGUGGGAAGGCUGGGGAGGGUCCGCAUUCUGGGCCUCCUCAUCUGAAGUGUCAUGUUCACGUGGCUGACUCAUCCAGGCCAGGGGUGGCUGCAGGAAAGAGUCCCUGCCCCUGCCCAGUGGUCAGGCAAAAGGUCGGGGCUGGCUGCCUCUCCCACCUGCCUGCAUUGGCAUCUCUGGAGCCACACUGCCCCCUGCUGCUGCCAGUGGAGGUGGCAGGAGCUGCUAGUCAGGCGGUUCCAGCUGCCCUGGUGCCCUGGUGAGCACAAGGGAAACCAGGUGGGCUCACGGCUGGAGCUCGGCCACUGCCAGCCAGGUCCUCUGUCCCCAAGGCGAGGGUGGCCAAGGCCAAGGUCAGGGCUGCAGGCAGGAAGACCCCCGCCCCAGCAGUCAGAGGCUUGGGGCUCAGCCAUACCUCUGGAAAGGGGCUGCAACCCCCAGCCCCUCUGCCCACUGCCUGUGGAACCAGGGUUGACUACUGGCCAGUGGACUGCUGGUCCAGGUCCUCGGGACUGCAGGGGCCUGGGCAGCCAGCAGCACCGCCCCCCCAGCAGCUCCUCUGAUCUGCUGUUUGUGUCCAUCUGUCUGUCCAUAAUUUUGAAUGCCCAAGACUUUUGAAACAGACUUGGCAAGUGAAGAUUCUUUUGUGUCUGUAGGGAGUAUCCGGGGCUCUGAACAAAGGCAGCGUUUCCCACCCCGCAGCACCACUGGGGCUUCCUGCACUGUGCCCCAUGGCCACCAGAGGGCGGGCGGUGGCCUGGACACUGGGACAGGUGUCCUAGGCAGGGAUGUGGG